AGCGGCUUUCAUCGCUGGCGCCACAAAUGUUGCUUACCUUGCCCGAGAAAGUAGCUGACCUUGACGGAAUUCCGAAUCGUGGAUAUAUCAUAGGUAGAAAGCCGAAUUUUGGAUCGAUCUGGUGUCUAAUUGGGCGCAUGUUGAGUGCAUUGACCAACAUCUUUGGCUGCCGUAUCGAAAUGGGCACAUCAAAUCGGCCGUUGACGUCAGCUAACACCAUUUGUUUCGUUUUCAAAAAAAAAAAGAAAUAAUAAUUAAUGUUU
ensembl:ncRNA lncRNA:CR45746 long non-coding RNA:CR45746